rnacentral:rRNA from 1 species
CAGUAGCCACGGGAAUACGAGGGGGGCAAGCGUUGUUCGGAAUUAUUGGGCGUAAAGGGCGCGUAGGCGGUUUGGCAAGUUUGGUGUGAAAUCUUCGGGCUCAACUCGAAGUCUGCACCGAAAACUGCCGGGCUUGAGUAUGGGAGAGGUGAGUGGAAUUUCCGGUGUAGCGGUGAAAUGCGUAGAUACCGGAAGGAACACCUGUGGCGAAAGCGGCUCACUGGACCAUUACUGACGCUGAGGCGCGAAAGCUAGGGGAGCAAACAGGAUUAGAUACCCCCGUAGUCCCUGUCUCUUAUAC